AAAAGGAUUGAGAUGAACACACGGGAUGCCCUGAGAUCUUCAGAGAAGAACUUGUCUGCCCUGCUGAACCAGAUACAUAUGUGCAGGCUGAAUAAAUUUGACACCUUCCGGAAGAUUGUUGUUGAAGAGCUUGCCAGCCUUGAGAAGGAUACUCAAAUUCUGGCAGCUAUGGAGAAGGAAGCACUGGUGUGUACAGCUUCUUGUGUGCCAGCCCAAAAAGGUGCCUCUUCCCAGGUAACAGGGGGUUUCUUUGGGGUCUUUUUAGGAUUUCUGGAACGCGCAGCUGCUCAAACUGAAUACGUUCUACAACCAGCAGAAGGAAAGGUACAUCUCUGCCGGCUGUCCUGCAUGCUCACAAGUCCUCUGAUGGUCAUAGGGGGCACUGGUGGUACCCUUGCUGAUAGAUGGGAAAGGAUUCUAAACCUAGUAUGGCAUCUUCACUUGGUGAA
rnacentral:lncRNA from 1 species